GGCGCCAUACCCAAGUGGUAAGGGGCAGGUCUGCAAAACCUUUAUCGUCAGUUCGAUUCUGACUGGCGCCU
rnacentral:tRNA from 1 species